rnacentral:rRNA from 1 species
AGNAACUAACAAGGGAUUCCCCUAGUAACUGCGAGUGAAGCGGGAAGAGCUCAAAUUUAAAAUCUGGCGGCCUUCUGGACGUCCGAGUUGUAGUCUGGAGAAGUGUUAUCCGCGUCGGACCGUGUACAAGUCUCCUGGAACGGAGCGUCAUAGAGGGUGAGAAUCCCGUCCAUGACACGGACGCCCGAUGCUAUGUGAGGCACUCUCGAAGAGUCGAGUUGUUUGGGAAUGCAGCUCAAAAUGGGUGGUAAAUUCCAUCUAAAGCUAAAUAUUGGCGAGAGACCGAUAGCGAACAAGUACCGUGAGGGAAAGAUGAAAAGCACUUUGGAAAGAGAGUUAAACAGUACGUAAAAUUGUUGAAAGGGAAACGCUUGAAGUCAGUCGGUCCCGUGAACUCAGCCUGGUUUCGACCUGGUGUACUUUCCAUGUGGACGGGUCAACAUCAAUUUCGGCCGGUGGACAAGGGCGAGGGGAAUGUAGCGUUGCUUCGGCGACGUGUUAUAGCCCCCCGUCGCAUACACUGGCUGGGAUUGAGGACCGCAGCACGCCCUUGUGGCCGGGGGUUCGCCCCACGUAACGUGCUUAGGAUGUUGGCAUAAUAACUUGAAACUGAAAA